AUUGAACGCUGGCGGCAGGCCUAACACAUGCAAGUCGAACGGUAGCACAGAGAGCUUGCUCUCGGGUGACGAGUGGCGGACGGGUGAGUAAUGUCUGGGAAACUGCCCGAUGGAGGGGGAUAACUACUGGAAACGGUAGCUAAUACCGCAUAAUGUCGCAAGACCAAAGAGGGGGACCUUCGGGCCUCUUGCCAUCGGAUGUGCCCAGAUGGGAUUAGCUAGUUGGUGAGGUAAUGGCUCACCAAGGCGACGAUCCCUAGCUGGUCUGAGAGGAUGACCAGCCACACUGGAACUGAGACACGGUCCAGACUCCUACGGGAGGCAGCAGUGGGGAAUAUUGCACAAUGGGCGCAAGCCUGAUGCAGCCAUGCCGCGUGUAUGAAGAAGGCCUUCGGGUUGUAAAGUACUUUCAGCGGGGAGGAAGGCGAUACGGUUAAUAACCGUAUUGAUUGACGUUACCCGCAGAAGAAGCACCGGCUAACUCCGUG
rnacentral:rRNA from 1 species